CCUACGGGCGGCAGCAGUGGGGAAUAUUGCACAAUGGGGGAAACCCUGAUGCUGCGACGCCGCGUGAGGGAUGAAGUAUUUCGGUAUGUAAACUUCUAUCAGCAGGGAAGAAAAUGACGGUACCUGACUAAGAAGCCCCGGAUAACUACGUUCCAGCAGCCGCGGUAAUACGUAGGGGGCAAGCGUUAUCCGGAUUUACGGGGUGUAAAGGGAGCGUAGACGGCAUGGUAAGUCUGAUGUGAAAUCCCGGGGCUCAACCCCGGGACGGCAUUGGAAACUGUCAGGCUAGAGUAUAGGAGAGGCAAGCGGAAUUCCUGGUGUAGCGGUGAAAUGCGUAGAUAUUAGGAGGAACACCAGUGGCGAAGGCGGCUUGCUGGACGAUGACUGACGUUGAGGCUCGAAAGCGUGGGGAGCAAACAGGAUUAGAUACCCGGGUAGUC
rnacentral:rRNA from 1 species